rnacentral:rRNA from 1 species
AACGAACGCUGGCGGCAUGCCUAACACAUGCAAGUCGAACGAUGCUUUCGGGCAUAGUGGCGCACGGGUGCGUAACGCGUGGGAAUCUGCCCUUGGGUUCGGAAUAACAGUGAGAAAUUGCUGCUAAUACCGGAUGAUGUCUUCGGACCAAAGAUUUAUCGCCCAGGGAUGAGCCCGCGUAGGAUUAGCUAGUUGGUGGGGUAAUGGCCUACCAAGGCGACGAUCCUUAGCUGGUCUGAGAGGAUGAUCAGCCACACUGGGACUGAGACACGGCCCAGACUCCUACGGGGGGCAGCGGUGGGGAAUAUUGAAAAGGGGGCUAAGGCUUGAACCAGCAAUGCCGGGGGAGGGAGAAGGCCUUGGGGGUUGAAAACCUUUUUUACCGGGGAUUAAAAGAACAGUCCGGGGAAAAAAGGCCCGGCCUAACCCGGUC